GGGAGAUUAGUUUAGUGGUAGAACAAGAGCCUCCAAAUCUCUUGGCAGGGGUUCGAUUCCUCUAUCUCCCG
rnacentral:tRNA from 1 species